rnacentral:rRNA from 1 species
UUCAGAGGAACCUGCCCUAUAAUUGAUAGUCCACGAUUUAAAUUACUUAUUUUAUUAGUUUACAUUAUCGUCGUAGUUUGAAUAUUUUUUAAGAAUAAUAAUAUUCAAGAAUUUUUAUAAAAAAAUUAAAUCAGGUCAAGGUGUAGUUUAUAAAUAAGAAGAGGUGGGUUACAAAAAAAAUAUUUAUGCGAAUUAAUUUAUGAAAAUUUUUAUGAAGUUGGAUUUGAAAGUAAUUUUAAUUAAUUUAUUAAAAUGAUUUUAGCUCUAAAAUAUGUACAUAUCGCCCGUCACUUUCACUCUAAAGUGGAAUAAGUCGUAACAUAGUAGGUGUACUGGAAAGUGUAUCUAGAACGACAAAUUAGAGCUUGUUAUAAAGCAUUUUAUUUACAUUAAAAAGUUUAUUGUGAAAAUCAAUAUAAUUUGAAUUAUUAUUAUUAUUAUUAUUAUUGAAUAUUUAUUAUUAUUUUUUAAAAAUAAUUUUUUGUUUUAUUAAUAAAAAGAAUAAAUUUAUUUUAUUAUAGAGAAUUAGUAUUGUUGAAGAAAUAUAUUUAAAUAAUUUUAAUAAUAAUUUAUUUUUAGUACCUUGUGCAUCARGGWUUAUUAAAUAAAUAUAAAUAAGUAAAUUUUCUCGAAUUUAAAAGAGCUAUAAAAUUAUAAUUUUUAUUGUUUAAUAAAUAUUAUAAAUAAUUUUAUUGUAAUGAAACGUUAUUCGUUUUUAUAUAUAUCUAGUUUUUUAAGAAAAAAAUUAAAUUUUUUUAAUAAAAAUAUUUUUUUAUAUUUUUAAUUUAAUGUUAUUAUUAGGAAAUAUUUUCAGGGAUGAGCUUGAAAAUAAAAAUUUAUAAAUAAAUAAUUAAUAUUUAAAUAAAUAGGAUUAUAAAUUUUCAUUUUUUAUAGUAUGUUAUAAUUAAUUUAAUUUUUUAUAUGAUUUAAAUUUAUUUUAAAUUUUUUAUUAAAAUAUUUAUUUAAAUAAUGAAGAUAAAGAAAUAAUGAUAAAAUUAGUAUAAUUUUUUGUAUUAUUAAAAAUUUGUUAGGUUAAAUAAAGGAAUUCGGCAAAUAAUUUUUCACCUGUUUAUUAAAAACAUGGCCUUUUGAUAUUAAUUUAAGGUCUCACCUGCCCAAUGAAUAAUUUAAUGGCUGCGGUAUUUUGACCGUACAAAGGUAGCAUAAUCAUUUGUUUUUUAAUUGAAAGCUAGAAUGAAAGGUUGAAUGAGAAAAUUACUGUCUCUAUUUAAAUUAAUUAAAAUUUUAUUUUUAAGUUAAAAAGCUUAGUUAAAUUUUGAAGACGAGAAGACCCUAUAGAGUUUAAUAAUUUAAAGAGUUAAAUGAUUUAGAAUUUAUUUUAUUUAAUUUUUUUGAGUUAUUUAAUUGGGGUGAUUAAAAAAUUAAAUAAACUUUUUUUUAUAUUUACAUAUAUUAAUGGAUAAUUGAUCCUUAAAUAAAGAUUAAAAGAUUAAAUUACCUUAGGGAUAACAGCGUAAUUUUUUUUUAGAGUUCAAAUUAAAAGAAAAGAUUGCGACCUCGAUGUUGGAUUAAAAUUAAUAUUUGGUGUAGCAGCUAAAUAGGAGGGUCUGUUCGACCUUUAAAAUUUUACUUGAUCUGAGUUCAAACCGGUGUAAGCCAGGUUGGUUUCUAUCUCAAAAAAAAUAAAAUAUUUUAGUACGAAAGGACCUAAAUAUUUAAUUAAUAAUUUAAGAUUUGAAUUAUAUUAGUUAUUUUGGCAGAAUAGUGCAAUAGGUUUAGAAUCUAUAAAUGUAAGUUUUUACAAAUAAUACUUGAUAUUUAAAGAUUUAUUAAUAAUAUUAAUUUCUAUGUUAAUUUUAGCUUUUUGUGUUAUAAUUGGAGUUGCAUUUUUAACAUUAUUAGAGCGUAAAGUUUUAGGAUAUAUUCAAAUUC